GACGAACGCUGGCGGCGUGCUUAACACAUGCAAGUCGAACGGAAAGGCCCUGCUUGCAGGGUACUCGAGUGGCGAACGGGUGAGUAACACGUGGGUGAUCUGCCCUGCACUUCGGGAUAAGCCUGGUAAACUGGGUCUAAUACCGGAUAGUAGCCAUUUUUAGUGUGAUGGUUGGAAAGUUUUUUCGGUGUAGGAUGAGCUCGCGGCCUAUCAGCUUGUUGGUGGGGUAAUGGCCUACCAAGGCGGCGACGGGUAGCCGGCCUGAGAGGGUGGACGGCCACAUUGGGACUGAGAUACGGCCCAGACUCCUACGGGAGGCAGCAGUGGGGAAUAUUGCACAAUGGGCGCAAGCCUGAUGCAGCGACGCCGCGUGGGGGAUGACGGCCUUCGGGUUGUAAACUCCUUUCGCUAGGGACGAAGCUUUUUGUGACGGUACCUAGAUAAGAAGCACCGGCGAACUACGU
rnacentral:rRNA from 1 species